AACGAACGCUGGCGGCGUGCCUAACACAUGCAAGUCGUGCGAGAAAGUUCCUUCGGGAGCGAGUAAAGCGGCGCACGGGUGAGUAACACGUAGGUAACCUGCCCCCCAGUCUGGAACAACUAGAGGAAACUCUAGCUAAUGCCGGAUAAGACCACGGCCCCCUCGGGGGCUGCGGCCAAAGAUGGCCUCUACUUGUACGCUAUCGCUGAGGGAUGGGCCUGCGGGCCACUAGCUUGUUGGUGAGGUAACGGCUCACCAAGGCUGUGAUGGCUAGCUGGUCUGAGAGGAUGACCAGCCACACUGGGACUGAGACACGGCCCAGACUCCUACGGGAGGCAGCAGUGGGGAAUAUUGCGCAAUGGGCGAAAGCCUGACGCAGCGACGCCGCGUGGGUGAUGAAGGCCUCGGUCGUAAGACCCUCGUCGCACGGGGAAGGAAGUAAAGGACAU
rnacentral:rRNA from 1 species